GGGCGCUAAGCGGUGCGACCUGAAGCUCCAGAGAGGCCAGCGUGUGCGGGCCGAGGAGGUGCAGUCUCUCGGUCUUUGUCCGGGCGAGAACGUACCUACAGGACUCUGUACUCCCCACCAGAAGAGCCUGAACGGAGAAGUUUGUACCAUUUAAGCCUUAAAGCCAUGGCCCAGAUGAGACUUGUUCCUCAGUCUUACAGUGACAGACAA